UAGGGAAUCUUCGGCAAUGGACGAAAGUCUGACCGAGCAACGCCGCGUGAGUGAAGAAGGUUUUCGGAUCGUAAAACUCUGUUGUUAGAGAAGAACAAGGACGUUAGUAACUGAACGUCCCCUGACGGUAUCUAACCAGAAAGCCACGGCUAACUACGUGCCAGCAGCCGCGGUAAUACGUAGGUGGCAAGCGUUGUCCGGAUUUAUUGGGCGUAAAGCGAGCGCAGGCGGUUUCUUAAGUCUGAUGUGAAAGCCCCCGGCUCAACCGGGGAGGGUCAUUGGAAACUGGGCGACUUGAGUGCAGAAGAGGGGAGUGGAAUUCCAUGUGUGGCGGGGAAAUGCGUAGAUAUAUGGAGGAACACCAGUGGCGAAGGCGGCGCUCUGGUCUGUAACUGACGAUGAGGCUCGAAAGCGUGGGGAGCAAACAGG
rnacentral:rRNA from 1 species